rnacentral:tRNA from 1 species
AGCCCCGUCGUCUAGCGGCCAAGGAGGGUUAGGCCCUUGACCUGGUGACGGCAGUUCGAAUCUGCCCGGGGCUACCA